UACGUAGGGGGCAAGCGUUAUCCGGAUUUACUGGGCGUAAAGCGCGUUAAGGCGGUUGGCAAAGUUGGUUGUGAAAUCUCAGGGCUCAACCCUGAAAUUGCGACCAAUACUGGUCGACUAGAGUGCAGGAGAGGAAGGUGGAAUUCCCGGUGUAGUAGUGAAAUGCGUAGAUAUCGGGAGGAACACCAGUGGCGAAGGCGGCCUUCUGGCCUGCAACUGACGCUGUAGCUCGAAAGCGUGGGGAGCGAACCGG
rnacentral:rRNA from 1 species